CAACCCUCAAGCACUGCUUGGUGUUGGGGCCCUGCGGCAACGCAGGCCCUGAAAACUAGUGGCGGGCUCGCUGUAACUCCCGAGCGUAGUAGUUUCCUCUCGCUCAGGGCGCCCAGCGUGCUCCAGCCGUGAAACCCCCCAAUUUAUAGAAGG
rnacentral:misc_RNA from 1 species